GAUGAACGCUGGCGGCGUGCCUAAAACAUGCAAGUCGAGCGGUAAGGCUCUGCACUUAGUGUUUGAUCGAAGUAAUUUAUUACUACAGUAGACCAAUUGGAACCUUGGCGGGUGAAGAGCGGAAUAGGAAGAUCGAAUUAUAAGUGUAGAGUACACGAGCGGCGGACGGGUGAGUAACACGUGGGAAUCUACCCCAAACUGAGGGAUAAGCACCGGAAACGGUGUCUAAUACCGCAUAUGGUCUUCGGAUUAAAGCUUCGGCGGUUUGGGAAGAGCCCGCGUAAGAUUAGCUAGUUGGUGAGGUAAAGGCUCACCAAGGCGACGAUCUUUAGCUGGUUUGAGAGGAUGAUCAGCCACACUGGAACUGAGACACGGUCCAGACUCCUACGGGAGGCAGCAGUUAGGAAUUUCCACAAUGGGCGCAAGCCUGAUGGAGCAACGCCGCGUGCAGGAUGAAGGUUUCGGAUUGUAAACUGCUUUAUGUGUGAAGAAUAUGACGGUAACACAUGAA
rnacentral:rRNA from 1 species